rnacentral:lncRNA from 1 species
UGUGCAAGUGCAUGUACAACAGCAGGUUAAUAUGCAGGCACGCCAAUUUAUUUUUACAGGCGUUCUUUAAUUGAAAUUAACCGCCUGUAAAAAUUUAAUUCCACCGCCAGCGUAGAGCUUCUCCGUACUAGUGACAUUCCAAUCGAAAUAGAAAGUACACAAAGGCCUUGUUUAGUUCACACCCAAAAACCAAAAAAAAUUCAAGAUUCCCCAUCACAUCGAAUUUUGUGGCAUAUGCAUGGAGCAUUAAAUGUAGAUGAAAACAAAAACUAAUUGCAAGUUUAUUUGUAAAUCACAAGACGAAUCUUUUAAGCCUAGUUACUCUAUGAUU